rnacentral:rRNA from 1 species
GAUGAACGCUGGCGGCGUGCCUAAUACAUGCAAGUCGAGCGAACGGACGAGAAGCUUGCUUCUCUGAUGUUAUCGGCGGACGGGUGAGUAACACGUGGAUAACCUACCUAUCAGACUGGGAUAACUUCGGGAAACCGGAGCUAAUACCGGAUAAUAUUUUGAACCUCAUUGUUCAAAAGUUAAAGACGGUCUUUCUUUCACUUAUAGAUGGAUCCGCGCUGCAUUAGCUAGUUGGUAAGGUAACGGCUUACCAAGGCAACGAUGCAUAGCCGACCUGAGAGGGUGAUCGGACACACUGGAACUGAGACACGGUCCAGACACCUACGGGGGGCAGCAGUAGGGAAUCUUCCGCAAUGGGAGAAAGCCUGACAGAGCAACGCCGCGUGAGGGAUGGAGGUCUUAGGAUCGUAAAACUCUGUUAUUAGGGAAGAACAAAUGUGUAAGUAACUGUGCACAUCUUGACGGUACCUAAUCAGAAAGCCACGGCUAACUACGUG